GAACGCUGGCGGGCGUGCUUAACACAUGCAAAGUCGAAACGGAAAAGGCCCUGCUUUUGUGGGGUGCUCGAGUGGCGAACGGGUGAGUAACACGUGAGUAACCUGCCCUUGACUUUGGGAUAACUUCAGGAAACUGGGGCUAAUACCGGAUAGGAGCUCCUACUGCAUGGUGGGGGUUUGGAAAAGUUUCGGCGGUUGGGGAUGGACUCGCGGCUUAUCAGCUUGUUGGUGGGGUAGUGGCUUACCCAAGGCCUUUGACGGGUAGCCGGCCUGAGAGGGGUGACCGGCCACAUUGGGACUGAGAUACGGCCCAGACUCCUACGGGAGGCAGCAGUGGGGAAUAUUGCACAAUGGGCGGAAGCCUGAUGCAGCAACGCCGCGUGCGGGAUGACGGCCUUCGGGUUGUAAACCGCUUUCGCCUGUGACGAAGCGUGAGUGACGGUAAUGGGUAAAGAAGCACCGGCUAACUACGUGCCAGCAGCCGCGGUAAU
rnacentral:rRNA from 1 species